ensembl:lncRNA
UCAGAGGGUGGGAACCGUGUUACCUCACUGACUCACAAGGGGGUGGACCUUGGACGCCGUAUAUGAUUGAGGACAAAUGAAAUGUUAAACCAUUUGGAAUCAACAGCGGUGGAGAUGUAGCCAUCGGACAGCGCCAACUCCCCCUGUUCGCCGAGGGGAGGACCGGGGGUUGGCGGAUCCGAGGGAGACCCGUGUGCCAAGAAACCAAGACACCCGUUCAAUUUAAAAAAAUGGAAUGAGCCGGCGGGACGUCACGAUGCGCCGUCGCCAAAAAGCUCCACACGUCGCUGCACGAACGCGCUCAUUUGGCUCUCAGUCCGGAGGCACCGCUGGUUACCAGGAGCUCAUCCAAGACCCGUGCAACCCACCCACCCUUCUUCUGCGCCCGAGGAGGAAACAAAAAUGACACACAAAAGCACCAGAAGUGAAGACGAGGGCGUACUCCAACCUUCAGGUGUGUUGGAGGCGCUGUGUGCGUUUGUGCGUUUGCUGCUGACAGAGCGCUGUGUUCGCAGGCCUGAGGGGUUGUCUGUUAUCUUUGGUUAUCUAGCUGUAUGAGUGGCGUACAUUCUUCAUAAAGCUAGAUAACCGAAAGUAACAAGAAUCCCAUUACACGCCUGCACGGUGGAAGAAAACUAAAUGAAAAGGACGAGAAGAACUGGGAAUGGGCUCGGACAACGGACGCUGUCAAACGAUGGCGUGAAGGUAUGCUGUGUUACAUAAGAGGUAUUGUUAGGGGGGAUGGGGCGAGAGGGGGUUCGCUUAUAAAGGAUCCAGUGUGCAACACAUAUAGUAUAUUUUGAAAUUGUUAAUAUAAAAAAACCUUUUAGAUCUUCACAAAAUACAUAAAAUUGGAUUGUUGAACAAGCACGCUGCUGUGCGACAAUAGUGUGAACGUUUGCACAGCAGCACUUAAAGUCAUACUGAAAGACAAAAUGACCAAUAUAGCUAAGCUGUACCAUCUGUGCACCUGUGUACCUGCUCCCAUUGAAAUAUACAUUGCAGAACUAAACUAUAAAGCAAUCUGGUAUUUGUAUGUUGGAAAUGUCUUCUACCUUUGUUUUCUGGAAAAACCUUUACAUAGGUUGCUUUUCCCACCAUAUUCUGGAAUAACAUUUCCUCUGCUGUCUGUAUAUCUCACUUAAAUGAACUACAAGGACAUUGCUGUGAUGAUCAACGGCACCGUGACUUUAAACCGGUCGCGCUGGGCUGAAGCCAUGAAGAUGUUAAGGGUGAGCUGGUGGACAGAUUCGAGCACUGCUGACCUUUAGCCAAACGCUGACGUUCAUGCAGCACCAGCCUGAUACGUUUGCUCGGUCUAUCCUGUAUAAAACAAACGUCUCUGCCACCUUGUUGUCCCAACCAUGUGUGACUACACACGUGAGCUGUGUAAUCACAUGCUGCCGCUGCAGUACUUCACACUCAGUUAUUGCCGCUGCCCUGUGCCUCAGACAUUUAUGGCUCUCACCUAAUUGUAUGUAUUUUUUUUUACGUUUUUUAUAUUUGUUUUAUUACAACCCCCCGAAAUCAAAUCAAAUAAGGUCUCCUGUGUUAUUACUGCAACUACAAAUAGGAAUAACAAGAGGAAGAAGGACUUUAGAGAUUCAAAACACUUGGAUGUAAUAUUUAGAUUAAUGUUCUUUAAAAAAAAACAUUGAUUGAUUCUAAGAUCCUAUCUUCGCCUUCCCGUAAUUUAAGCUUCUCUCUUUUUUUGUCUCACACACACUGAGGAGUCUCUUUGUCAGAUUUCACCUUGUUUGGGUAAGAAUUUGGCCCCAAUCAGUUUCUAAUUAGCUUUUUUUUUUACUUUAAUGAUGGCAGAUAAUUGGCUGAAAUGGAAAAGCUUGAAUCCUUUCCUUUGGGAAAGAAAUUGUUUUGUUGUUGUUGCUGUAGUCGUUCGGUGAAGCAUCACCACACGUAGCUGCUACAUGGAGCUGUGGCCACACUUUUUGAACAAUACAAUAAAGACAAAUAUAUCGAAUAUCCAGUUUCAGGAUGAGGAUUAUUUUGCGGUUAAAGAGAGCAAGUCGCACAGAAGCUGUGGUGGCUAGAGAGGCAAAACAAAACAAAAAACACCUCAAGGGGCAAUUAGGAGGCCCUCAUCAUUUGGAGCAUCUCCCCUCCAGUUGAUGCUCUUUCAGAACUCAAUGAGCUUUGUCUCAAACGAAUGACGAAGAUGGUGUGUGCGUGUGUGUGUGUGUGUGUGUGUGUGUGUGUGUGUGUGUGCGUGUGUGUGUUAUCUUAUAUCCCAUGUACCACAUAAAUUGGUUGAGCCAAAAUAAUAUCUAGAAACCAACAAUCUUUCUACAAUAUAAAAUAUCACAAGCUUCUUCCUUCAUAAGCUCUAUUAACACGCAGUGUGACGUAGCACAAACUAUCUGGAAGAAUGCUUUAACACUGCUUCCCCUUCAUUCAGUUAUGCUUUUGGAAAUGGCUUAUUUUUAUAUUUGAGAUAUCUUUGUAAUGUUUUUUAAGCUUACAAAAGUCCCAAGCUAUGUUUCUGUUGACCACGUGUUCACUUUUUGACCCUGUACCUUCUUCACACACUCGCCCAAACAUUCGUUCCCCUCAUUCAUUUUAUUUUAUUCUUCCCGUUUCUUCCCAGCUUGGAUUCUCAGAUGGUUGGUUCUGAUUUGUAUGCAUUUGCAUAAUGAAUGUCAUUUGCAUGCUCAGGGGCAGACCAUACCAUGAGAACGGCUGUGUUGGUUGUUUGUGUGUGUGUGUGUGUGUGUGUGUUCAUGCAUGGGCACACAUGUGUCUUAGCAUGUGUGUGCCGUAUAUUAAGCACAUGUAAAUUACACGUUCUUUACACAAACGGACCAUUGCAGGGUGCUGUUUACUUCGCUGUAUACACACUUUCUCUCUGACGUGUGUGUAUAUAUGUGUGUGUGUCCAUGUUUGGGAGGAUUGUGCUUCUGUGUGUUGCGCAUGUUGGGCACCAAUGUUCCAAUCGGCGAUGUUACCGCUCGGCAAUGUACCGACUAGAAGAAUGAAAAACAAGAGACUCCCUCCUCAAUCCCACCAUCCUCCUCUACACUCCGACCCCUCCCUCGCCAGUUUGUCCUCCUCUCCCGCACGGAAAGUCACAGUCCUGCCACCAUCUUAGGUGUUAAGACUGGCACAAAAUGGCAGCUAAAAGAAAGCAGAAUGUGGAUAGGCAGCGCUGCACCUUCCCCCACAUCGCGUUGGCUUCGCUCCUUUCCGCGCCAUUGGUCGCCUCAAGACAGUGUUAAUUACCGCCAGUGUGUUAAUUGUGGGGAUCGCCCCGAGAGACCCGCGGGAAGGGGUGAGAUAAAGAGGAAGCCGUAGGAGCCAGCGGCUUUUGAGCGUUGGCAAACUGGCAUUUUUAAGGGCAGCUGCGGUUCCCGCGUUGCUUUCGGCGUUCCCGUCGUCAAGCUGCAGACGCUGGCAAUCGGCCAUUUUGUGGACUUUUAAGACGCUCUGAAAACCCCAUUCGACGACUCCGUUUCCAGGUCAUCAUUCUGAUUAUUAUUUGGACUGCAAAGAUUUAUCAUUUCUACGAGCAUUAUUUCUCCAUGCGCAGCAUUCACACGUUAUUUACGCUGCAGGACGCUUUGUUCGAGGAUGUGGAAGAAAGGAAACACCUGCAUGCUCGCUGACAUCCUCCAGCAGCCGUAAUUAGCAGGCUACAUAAAUCUCCACUCAGUAUCACCCAUAGUUUUCUCACAUGUGCACUGGACUUAAUUGGUGGCUUGUAGAUGAAUAUUUGUGAUGCGUGGAAUAUUUGACAGAGCAGCAUCAACUGUCACUCAUUUCACUCACAACACUUAAUUUUUUUUAAAUUUUGUUAAAGAAAGUUACCACAUCUCCCCUUUUGGAUUCUUUUGAAUGAAAUGUGUUUCCAACCGGUCAGACAUUCUCUCCUUUUUCUCAGCUUUAUGAUUAUGCCUUGAUGGUUUAUAAAUGGUUUAUAAAAGUCCAAGAUAUGAGAUGAAUGUCUUUUAAGAAUUAACUGGAAAUUACUCUAAAUUAAUUAAGAGUAAAUUUUUCCUUUUGGAUGAAAACCCAUCAUGCCAACCUCUCUGGCCUUUGUGCUUAAUGAACAUCCUUUUUUAGCUAUGAAAGGGUUUUACAAAUCUGACAAAUGUUUAAACUUUUAGAGAAGCAAACAGCCCUUCAGCCCAAGUGAAAACAUUUAAAUUCUCCUAAUUUGGAAAUAGGGGUUUUGUUUUUAUGCCACGGCAGCAUUUUAGCCAACCUUUAAGCAUGGGAUAACGGUCGAGUGCAAGUACAACGUGUUUUUCUGACCCGACCAUUGAAGCUGCUCCUUUCAAGAAACCAGCGACCAACGUAUCCAUUCAGAAAGUAAAAAGUGUAGUGAGUGAAUGACUGAGAAAGACGGGAAGGAGGAAAGGGGGGCAGACAGAUGAGGAGAGGGAGGCUGCGACAGUGAGAUCUCAAUAGUGAGAGGCCUUCUUUGUGUUACUGUGUGAGGUUUAUCUUGGGGGGUGCAGGGGCCCGCUAAGAAAGGACGGGAAGAGGAGAGGGUGGGGAUCCUAUCCUGGGCCCUUAGACAAGCAGCACAUUGUCCUCCCCAAUGUGCGGCGGCACUUGUGGCGUAACGCCAUUAUUUAGGCCAGUGGAGGGAAAGGGGGUCUGGAGACCAGCUUAACCAAAACGCCAAUUAGAGCCGGAUCGUCCUGAUUAAUGGACGAGGGAGAUUGGUAAACAAUGACUGCCAUUGUUAACGUAACCCCCUCCCACCCCCCCACCAACCCCUCCCCGCGAACGCAUAUACAAACCCCUGACCCACGGGUUCCUUUCACACAGCAGACCCUCCAUCCUCACUGACACACACACACACACACGCACACAGGCAAACGCACACAUAAUGUGUCUGUCGUGCCAGGGCUCAGAGGCCUGCCGUUGGCAUGCUGCUCCUGUUUUAGAUUUGGCAGCUUGAUGUCAAAGUUUGAUCCCCACGUGUAAAUUGGCAUAAAUGCAAAUUAGUGAUCUUCUCAUAGAUAAUAUAUCUGGUUUAAGCUGAUUUUUUGGUACAAAAAAAUAUUUGUGAAAGUUCACAUAAUACAGCACAGCUAGUACAUGCAUGAAAAAAAGGAUUACAGUUGAAAUUUUAACGAUAUGCCCUAAAGCAUCGGAUAUGCACAUAAAAUUACUCAUUGCGGUUAAUUUCUACAUGGAGGCGUAUUUCAUCAAAAGCAGCGCUGGGCUCAUAUGUUAAUCACACACCAUGCGAUGCUUGGCUCUGCAUUUCAAUACGUCCUACUUUAUUGUUUUUUUUAAGCAUAUGCGCUGAAUAAUUAGCCACCACGUAGUCCAAUCAGGAGCAUGCCAAUGUGGGGUUUCCAUGGCGACCCCAUCAGUUCUUACCUCCCACCCCCUCCACCCUUCCACCCCCACCUCCUCCUCCUGCCUGGCUGCAAACAGGACGGUGAAAAUAAAGCGUGGGAAAAAAACACUUUGGCGAUUCAGACAAUGAUGGUGGGGGUGAGAAGGAGGGAGGGGGGAGGAGAGGGGGGAAGAGAGGAGGAGAGGAGGAAGAGAAGGAGGAGAGAAGGUCCGAUGUAGGGGAUUGGAAGAGCAGCUUGUGUCUAGACUGGCAAACACAGACAUGGUCUGUUUUGGAGUUUGGUGUGUUUGGGGGUCGGGGACAUAUUUUAUGUCAUCUGUCUGAGUUGAUUGUGGGCUCAGUUUGUUUCCUCUUUUAUUAGUGUGCCAUCUAUGGGCGGCGAAUGGGAGCUUACUGUAAAGGCCCCUCAGAGAGCGAUAGAGUAAACAGUAACACCAAGCUUUGUGUUCAAUUAUGCAUGACUUGGCUUCGAGUCCCCCAAAUGUCUGUGCACGUGAUCCGUAAAAAUGAUGUGGCUUUGUCCGAAAAAAAGGGAUUGAUUUCUCAAGAAAUAUCACAUAUGACACGUUGUUGCCUUAUUGAACCAAGAUGGCAUCCCAGGAUCAAUGUAGUUUAAUUGGAGUAAAGCUGAACGCUGGAGAAUCAGAGCAACUGAAUUUGAGCCAGCUGGUUCAGCACAAUAUGAAUAAAAUAGAGGAUAAAAAUAUCGCUACAUGGAUAAAGCACCGGUCCAAACUUUGGACUGUACAUGUUGUUAGGUCAUAAAUGAAAAAAAACGUUGACUGUAUUUUUGCAUUGCUGCACAUUUUGAGUUUUGUCUUGAUGCAAAGUGUAAAACACUGUAGAUAAAUGUGGUCAAUAAAAGGACUGUCUUUAACUUUAACUCUGUCUUCUCGUUUAAGGUUCCUAAUUGGUCCGAAGUUGGAAAUCAUCGGAUCUUUGCCUCUUUGCUCUUUUGGACUGUGACUUUGAGGCCAGUGAUGUUCGUCUUAGACAGGACAUCUUUAACCACUAAUAUACACAAGGAAACACACCGUCCAGUGGACGAAUAAAUUGCGGUGAAUUACGGUGAUCAGUGUGGGUGUGUUGCUGGAGGGUUUUCUCAUGUGCUGCUCUGCACAGCUGCUCAGGAAACAUCUGUACUACAUUUUCAUGUAUGGCAGAGCAUAGAUCAUUCUCUCUCAAACACACUCUCAAUCAUCUAAAGUUCAAACUAAUUUUAGAUCAGAUGAUGAUAAAAUAGUUGCUGUGGGGUUCUGAACUUGUUUCGCAAUGUAUUAUUCUUUAGAGAAUCUUAUCUUAGAUCUUAAAUCAUAGCAUUUAAACUGUGUUGUAUUGUAAUUAUUUGAAUGAGCAAGAAGAUGUGGACAUUUUUAUCAGGUAAAAUUCUUGAUGUCUCAAUGUAAUGUUUCACAGUCAAUGUGACUGGUUUACAAUUUUUUUUCUGUUUGCGAUGUCAAAAUAGUCUCUUGGAAUUGAUCCAUCAACCAUAAAUUGUAUAAAAAUCAUCCUUAAUUUGACUUUUUUUUUACAUUUAACCAUCUCAUAUUAGUGUUUGUUGUGCCCUUUUCAAGGCUUUGUUUUUUAAAGCAAAUAUAUAUAUUUAAAUUUUUAGUGUACACAUUUAAUCAAUAGCACUAUUAUCCCUGCAAGAAGCGUUUUUGUGCAAUCAAAACUACAUUAUGUUAAUUUCUUUCCUCUAUGCAAAAUGUUGUUUUGCACUCUUUGUUAAAGUGUUUGCACAGUAAUUGUUUUGUUAAGUUUUCACAUUAGCAAUGUUCAGCUUGUGUGAGAGAAUCUUGAUGCUAAUAUGCACUAUAUGAGCACAAGUGCAAUAACAAAUGUGUUUAUCUGGAGGUUCAAUGAGAAACAGUUAAUUCUGUUUUGAUUUAGUCAGUAAAUGCAAAAGUAGAUUUAUUUACACAUUUAAUUUGUUAAGUCAGUUCCUCGUUUAAUGUAAUAUUAGUGAAUGAAUGGGAUUCUGUUUUGAUCCAUUGUGGAUAACUUGUGGAUAUGUGCAAUCGAUUUUAUGCAGUUUGAAGACUAUUCAGAGGGAACAAUUGAUUAUAUUAUAAUGCACUAUGGAUGACACACCAGCUGCUGUUAAUGUGCUCCAAAUCUGUACUAUGCAACAGUUUCACCUGCAGUUUAUUUGAAACAAUAAAAGUAUUCACUUUUUGAAUGAGACAAUGAAUUUGUGUGUGUAUUUUAAGUCUAAGUUUGUGUAUUAUAUGAUAAUAUUUAUGAUAUGUGAUAAUUUAAAGGAUGUAGACUCAAACAUGACAUCAUUAUUAUUUCAUGAAUAUGUUGGACCAUUACGUUCAAAUUUACAAAAAUGCAUUUGGUUUCUUCUACAGUCAACUUUGCAUCUAUUUUGAUCUUAGAUAUAACAAAAAGAAGCAAAGCACAUUUUGCAAGUUAGCUAUGCAAAUGCAUAUGAAUCCAUUUUAUUUCAAUAGGUAUGGGAAAUUUUAAUUGUUCAAUUGAUUUUGUAUCAGACAGAUAAUAAAGAAAGUACUCAAUAAGAUCCUUAAACCAUAUUUAUAUUAGUAGCAAUUGAAACAUUAACCACAUAUUCCACUUUGACACAGAAGAUACAAAAUAAGAGCUAAUUGUCCUAUAUGAUGUUGCAUUUAUAGAUGUAGAUUAGCCGGAUUAUAUAUAUAAAAACAUAGAAAGAACAAAUAUAUAAGGAUUAUAGUGAAAUUAAGUUCCUGACAAAAGUAUUUCCUAAUGUAGCACGCUUAUCUUUGGGGCUGUGUUUGCAAACAUUACCAUCGAUCCUUUUGCCAUUUCUGUUAUUCUAUCAUUUCUUUAUGAAUUAGACGGUCGGAUACACACUUCCUCUCAUCCUGUACCGUCACUGUCAGCCACAUGAAAGCUUGAGGCACAUCAGUGAUAGAAUGAAGACAAAUACUUUCCUCCAACCCUCUUAAUACCAAGUCUGAAACUGCAGCCUCAUGUUUAAUCUACGCAAAUUUUUAACCCAAAAUUAGAGUGGUGUGGGAAAAAACAUUAUUGUGUGAUAAUACAAGAUAACGAUGAUGCAUCAUGCCCCAAAA